UACGAAGGGGCUAGCGUUGCUCGGAAUUACUGGGCGUAAAGCGCGCGUAGGCGGCUUUGUAAGUUAGAGGUGAAAGCCCGGGGCUCAACCCCGGAAAUUGCCUUUAAGACUGCAUCGCUUGAAUCCGGGAGAGGUGAGUGGAAUUCCGAGUGUAGAGGUGAAAUUCGUAGAUAUUCGGAAGAACACCAGUGGCGAAGGCGGCUCACUGGACCGGCAUUGACGCUGAGGUGCGAAAGCGUGGGGAGCAAACAGG
rnacentral:rRNA from 1 species